AGCAGAUACCCUGUGAAGCAAAUCAGCACAACAGCGUGGCUGUGUUUUCUUUUUUUUCUACAGGCGCAGGUGUGUCAGAAUGGAUUGAAGCGCAGAGGACAUGAAAGGAAUCUUCUCUGGAAAGAUCUGCACGGCUUGAAAGAGCGAUCUGAGGACUGUCAGUCACCUCUUCCGCAUCUGAAGUGAAUCCCCGCUGUGUGCUGUCGAGCAGAAGUCUGGCCACAUUGGGCUGACCUGUUCCCAACUGGACAAGCAGCUGUGAGGAAGGGAAUGCUAAAUCUCUAGAAGCAGAGAGCCUGAAUGUAAGUCUCUGGGACAGUUGGGUUUUUAAGACAAAUGUUUCUGUGAACAUUUCACGGACUAAGGUCGAGUGAUCACAGCAGCCUCUUGUUGACGGCCAAAGUUAUGGGGUUUUG
rnacentral:lncRNA from 1 species